UCCUUGUAGUGUUACAGAAGAUAACAUGUCGUAGUAAUUUAUUUUGAGCUCGGAUUGAAUCAUUUCGAAGGAUUUAUUAUGUGCUAAAUAGUAACUAGUAGUUGUAGUAGUUUAGGGUAACAAUCUGUAUACUGUUGGAAGAGAAGCCCAUUUAAGUUUAAAACGUGCUGAACGGGCUUGAAUCACUGUUACCAAGAUUGCAGGUCAAGACUCAGGGAGUCGAAUGGGAAUAGGAUGAGAAGAAAAGUUAAGGUAAAUAUGCAAUCUUUAUUGCACAGAAACGGUCAAAUGUGGAAUAAGAAAAUCUACUGGUUAAUGUUCAGAUGUUCAGCUCUGACGGGGAGACCCUGGCUCAGAAACAUAUACAGCAGAAAAUGACAUUCUUUUGAAUGAUCGUUAAAGAAUAUUGCUGAUGUACGAAACAAGUUUUGCAACAUCCAAGUGUAAUUAUAUAAUUAAUACUGUAAUAUUUUUGAAGUUCUUAACUCUUGGAUUUAGAGGAAAGCUUAUGAAGUGAUUUCAGAAAGAAAAUAGAAAAAGAUUGUGAACAUUUGGAAUAGUACCCUAGUAGUAGUUCCUAUGGCUACAAUUAUGUUAUGGUAAGUACAUUGGGAUAUAGUUAUUCUAUUUCUUCCA